AUGCCUCGUCAUCUAAUUAGUGACGCGCAUGAAUGGAUUAACGAGAUUCCUACUGUCCCUAUCUACUAUCUAGCGAAACCACAGCCAAGGGAACGGGCUUGGAAUAAUUAGCGGGGAAAGAAGACCCUGUUGAGCUUGACUCUAGUCUGGCAGUGUAAGGAGACAUAAGAGGUGUAGCAUAAGUGGGAGAUAUAUUAGUUUCGGCUAUAUAUAUCAAAAAUGAAAUACCACUACUCUUAUUGUUUCCUUACUUACUUGAUAAAAUGGAACGUGUAUCAUUCACUUAGCCAUUACACGGAUAUAUUUUAUAUAUAUUUUAUGGUAUUUUGUUUUGAUGCGAGCUUCUUGUUUAAAGUACCAAGAGUUUGUUAUAUACACCAAACAAAUAUCAAUUAAAUUUACUUUCCAUUAAUAAUGGUUUGUUAAAUAUUAAAUGAAUUUGGUAUAACUAUUAUACUCAGGUAUGAUCCAAUUCAAGGACAUUGCCAGGUGGGGAGUUUGACUGGGGCGGUACAUCUCUCAAAUAAUAACGGAGGUGUCCCAAGGCCAGCUCAGUGCGGACAGAAACCACACAUAGAGCAAAAGGGCAAAUGCUGACUUGAUCUCGGUGUUCAGUACAUACAGAGACAGCAAAAGCUCGGCCUAUCGAUCCUUUUGGUUUA
rnacentral:rRNA from 1 species